UUCUUCACUCCGCACAAACACACACACACACACACACACACGCCAGUGUCCAUGGAUUAUUGUACUGUUACUGCACAUCAAAUGUACAGAUUGUACCAUCACUGUGCACCAUUACUACACCAUCAGUUUACUAUCACAACCUCUACCACUAUACCAUUACUGCACUAUUGCCCCAUACCACCACCCAUCACUUAAAUAUAAAUAUUUCAGCAUUACAGUACUAUUCCAAUUACCAAUGUGUCCCUUCCCACACCUGAACACCUAUACCUGCUCCAUGAUUGCACUGCUAACACACCAUAAUGCUACCAAUAAUUGAACCAAUGCCACAUCCUCUUGUGGCUGAGUGAGUGGAGAGUAUAGAAGAUCUUAUAUGUUUCCGGAGGUGUUGUGGUGUAGGUUCUUUCCAAGCAUUCCCACUUCCUUGCACCUAAUUUACUCUGCUCCCACAAACAGGAAGCAUAAUCGAUGAGAGACAGUGAGACAGAGCUCUGAGAGACAGAAUAGUAGUCAUGUUAGGGACAGAGAGACACAGGAACAGCUGCAUAAGAUAGGGACAGCUGUAUUAGAGAGGCAGCUUGUAAGACAGAAACAGCUGCUUAAGAUAGAGACAGCUGUGUAUGACACAAAAAGAUAUGCAUAAGAUAGGGACAGCUGUAUUAGAGAGGCAGCUGUGUAUGACAGAAAGAUAUGCAUAAGAUAGGGACAGCUGUAUUAGAGAGGCAGCUGUGUAAGACAGAAACAGCUGCUUAAGAUAGAGACAGCUGUAUUAGAGAGGCAGCUCUGUGUAUGACAGAAAGAUAUGCAUAAGAUAGGGGCAGCUGUAUUAGAGAGGCAGCUGUGUAAGACAGAGGCAGUUAUGUAAGUCAAAGAAACAGCUGCAUGAGAGAGAGAGAGAGAGAGCUGUGUGAGACAGAAAUAGUCAUAUGCUAUCAUAAAUAAUAACUAAUGAUAAUUUAUAUAGGACAUUUAAAGCAGUUCAGUUUGAAGGUCUUUACUUACAGUUGCUGUGAAGGACAGUCAAUUCCAUUGUUUUCCUAAUAUAAAUGUCAGAUCUAAUGCUAUCAACUGCAUCAGGUUUGGAUAUAGGAAAAUGAAGGCUGGUAGCAAUGAAAAUUCACUUUACUUUUAUGGCGCAAUUAUCAGUCCAUUAAAUAUCUCUGAAUUUAUAGUGGAUUGGCAUUCAUAAUAUCAGAGAUUUUUUGCUGAUGAAAAGGUGGCUACCGUAUUCUCCACACAAUCAGAUAUUUGCCCAAAAUAGUAAAAAUUGUAAAAGCUUGCUUUAAUACAGUCCCCUAAACAUUGCGUUUCUUUUGGCAGAAUUUACCAUAUUGUGGACAUUAUCUUGAGUUAAAAUUGCAUUCUUGGUGUUAUGUAUUGAAGUAAGUUCAAGUUCAAUAAUUUCACACAAAGCUAAAAUUUUGGUUUCCAAACAAGGUACAGCUAUGUGGUCACUGCAAGACUGGUGAAAUGGAGACAAAGAUGCACUUCAGCGUACAAUGCUGAAAAAUCUGAAAUUAAGAAAUAUAUGUCUCAGUUUAAUAGAUCAGCCCCACUAGUAAAAGAAAUUGUGCAUAAUAAAAAACCAUCAGUCUCGCUAGGGACCCACAGCAGCACUGGUUGCACUGUAUUUAGCAGCGUGUCAUUGCCUGAGAGACAGUGAGAAGGCCACAUCGGCAUCACACUGUCCUUAGCAUAGAUUUGUUUAUAUUGCUGAUUUUAUGUCAUUGGAGGCAGCCUGGAUCAGAUUCCAAUGCCAUUGAUAUGAAUGAAAACACUCCAGCAGGAAUCCUCUUCUGUCACUAACAUAAUAAUGUAUUAUGUUGGGAGUUGCAACACACCAUGGUCGUAUUUACACUCAUGUCUGAUGCAGCUGUCUCAUCAGAUUGAAUUAUUCUCCAAUAUAUGUGAUCAGCUGUUUUCACUUGAUUUUAACAUGCUGUUAACACGCUCCCAUUUUUCAUGGGUUGGGAGACCAGUUUAUCUAGCGGAGUACUCUCACCUGAAAUUCAGUCAUCCCUCAGUGAGAGGCUGAUGGAGCCUGCUUGUCAGUCAAUUAUCACAUUGCCCCUCCCAAAUACUCUACAUAGAUUUGCAAAAAUUAAGCACAGACAAGGUCUCCAGGAGCAGGGUUGGCAACCACUUAUCUGCAGCAAUGUUCCCACAGUGCCACAUCCAGCUUUCAGUGCAUUGACCUGCACUGAAGUGUAUAGUGUUUGGCGGCAAAUGUUUUUUUUAAGCAAUGGAAGUUGGACAUACAAAAUUCAAUCACACUUCCUUCACAAAAAUGAAAUAAGACCAAUCAUAACAAUUAAGCAUUUUGCAGCAUUAUAGGCUUUUUUAAAAAUGAAAGGCUAGAACAGAUGAACACGAAUGAAGUAAAAAUGCAAGGAUUAAAAUUUAUGAUUAAAUGUAAUCAUGAUCAGAUGUUUCACACUGUCCUCUGUCAUCCUUUGGCAGUGCUUAAUGUAACUUGUCGAUCGAAGCAGUCAAGUAUCAGUUUGCCAUCUGACAAUAUUUGGAAUGAUUUUGUUGACUUUUGUUUUGUUCCCAGUACUCCUCUAGUUCAGUCAUAGUCCUACCCUUGUUAAAUAAUUUUCAAUGAACUACAACAAAUACAAACCUGGACCUUGCUGUGUAGAAAUUAUGUGUAGUGCAACUUUCUGCUUAGAUAAUACUUGAAAAUCUCUUUGACUACUCUCAGUACUUUGCCAGCUUGGAAAUUGGUAGGCCAGAUGCCACUCACAAGUGUCACAAUGUGAACAUUACAUGUUAUGAAUGACUUUUGGCAUCUUUGAGGGAUUCAUUGUGUAAGGCAACGUGUAACUUGCAUUAUCCAAGUAAAGUGCAGUUACAUUAUUUGAAUCAACUUUAAACUUCAAUAGGCAUUGUUUGAUGCUAUCUGCGACUGAGUUGUAACUUAUGGCAUUAAGAAACAAAGUGUCUGCCGGAAUAACUUUUAAUUUGAUGUAAUUGAUUUGACUUGCAGAACAAAUAAAAUGUUCUUUACAUAA